AACAAGGGGGAGUCUCCCUGCACAAGCUCUCUCUCUUUGCCUGCUGUCAUCCACCUAAGAUGUAACUUGCUCCUCCUUGCCUUCCACCAUGAUUGUGAGGCUUCCCCAGCCACGUGGAACUGUUCAAAUUUCCAUCUGGUGUCAUUUUUCUUCUACCCGAAGAAUUUUCUUGAAUAUUCCUUAUAGCAUAGGUCUGCUGGCAAUAAAUUAUCAGUUUUUGCUUGUCUGAAAA
rnacentral:sRNA from 1 species